AGAAUCUUCCGCAAUGGGCGAAAGCCUGACGGAGCGAUGCCGCGUGGGGGACGGAGGCCUUCGGGUCGUGAACCCCUGUCACCCGGGACGAAGCAAGUGACGGUACCGGGAGAGGAAGCCACGGCUAACUACGUGCCAGCAGCCGCGGUAACACGUAGGUGGCGAGCGUUAUUCGGAUUCACUGGGCGUAAAGGGUCCGCAGGGGGCCCUGCAAGCCCGCCGUGAAACCCCGGGGCUCAACCCCGGGCGUGCGGCGGGGACUGCCGGGCUGGAGUGCGCGAUGGGCAAUCGGAACACCAGGUGUAGCGGUGGAAUGCGUGGAUAUCUGGUGGAACACCGGCGGCGAAGGCGGAUUGCUGGCGCGCGACUGACCCUCAGGGACGAAAGCGUGGGUAUCAAACA
rnacentral:rRNA from 1 species